CUGGGGCAAAUGGAAUUGAUUGGCUCCACUGUUUAGUCGAUGUGGGAUGCUGUCAGAUUGUAUGCACAAUAAAUUCAACCCAAUAGCAACACACUAUAGUCGGUUUAAUAUGUUUGAUGAGAUCAAUCAUGUUGACAUGGGUAUUGACCGUAAAAUAUUUUAGGAUUUUUACAUUGGAAAUCCGAUUCCAGCCGAGAGAACAUGGUGAUAUGGCAGCUAAUCAAAUUAGCGGAUAUUUGACCAGCUAUUAAUAGUGUUCGGCACAAAUAUGACAUCUGGUUUUCUUCGUCGAAACCUAUUUAAAACCACACAUUGAAGGUUAAUUUGCUGUACAUGCAGAAAACGAGGAGAUUAGCCGCCACUGCACAUACAUGAGAUCUGAGCAGACAGGUUGAUGGAAAAUGCAGGCACCAUCUGGGGGAAACAGCAGCACUGCGGCUGUGAAACGCCGAGCUCAAGCAACUGCCGAAGGUAAACGGAAUAUUUAGAGUUUCAAUUCAAUUUAGAGAUUGCCAAAUUGCGCGGAAAAAAACUAAUUAAGGAAAUUGAAUCGGGGGGAACGUGUGAGAUUUUACAAGCAUUUUUAGAGUGCGUUACAUUUGUCUGGGGUUUAAAACUUGGAUCCACUAGUUAGUAUUAUGUGAAUUAAAUGCAUAUUAAGGGCUUUCCGAUGCCUGUCUAAUAACAUGCUCUUGUGUUUUGAUCGGAUAGAAUCUGGCGAGGUAGAUUCGGGCCGCUGAAACGCAACACCAAGCCCUCAAUGCCGCACAGCUGAAGGUGAGAAGUGGAACCAGUCUCCGGGGAUGUGGCUGGAAAGGUUUGAAUGGAAGAAAAAUUAUCCGAACCCCUGAUGCCCUGCUCUACUAAAGAAGGCGAUGGAAGCUCAUUCAUUUAAGGUUUCUUCAGGAUUCAAAUAUAUCCUCUGGUUGGAAAAUGAGAACUUAUUCUGGUCCAUAUUUGCUGGUGAUCUUCUGCUCAGAUGUCAGAUGUUUGCAAAGCCAAUGUUAGCUUUUGGUGAUUUCCCCUAUGCUGUGGGACUGAGUCUGGUCUCCUGUUGAGUUUUCUUCAGUGAUCUGGGUAAGGUUACUGUGUGCAAAGUCUAAGUAUGGUCGGGUGCAAACUUGGACAACAAGGUAUGUUAAAUCUAAUCCUAUUCAGAAUGUUUUUCAUGGGUUAUCUAAAUAAAAAAAACAUUCUGCUUCCGCCAGUUGGAAGCAGCAAAUAAAGGCAGUAAUACUAAACAGUAGAGACCAGGGAAAUUAUAUCACCUAAAAAUAAAUAAUAAAAAUAAAAUAACAACUGAUUGUGGACAGACUUUGUGUUGAUAGUGGAGAUGUUUUUAACAGUAUACUAUUCUCCACCACUGGACCCCUGCUCUUACACUCCAAAGUGGAGAGAUAAUAGUGUGGGAACAAAAGGUGCAGUAUUGACUUUUGACAUAGCAAAUCCUAAAUGAUAAAUCACUGUUUUAAGUUAAUUAUAUCCAAUUCUGUUGCUUUCCCAAAUCAGUCAUGCUAAAUAUUUGCACCAAUCCUGUUGAAUUUCACCGCUAAUUUCCAACAAAAACACCCAUAACAUUGGCAUUCUCAUAAGGUAAUAAGGGAUAGGAGUAGAAUUAGGCCAUUCGGCCCAUCAAGUCUACCACCAUUCAAUCAUGGCUGAUCUAUCUCUCCCUCCUAACCACAUUCUUCUGCCUUCUCCGCAUAACCCCUGACACCUGUACUAAUCAGGAAUCUAUCUAUCUCUGCCUUAUCAUAUCCACUGACUUGGCCUCCACAGCCUUCUGUGGCAAAGAAUUUCACAGAUUCACCACCUUUUGACUAAAGAAAUGUUUCCUCAUCUCCUUCCUAUAAGAACGUCCUUUAAUUCUGAGGCUAUGAUCACUGGUCCUAGACUCUCCCACUAGUAGAAACAUCCUCUCCACAUCAACUCUAACCAAGCCUUUCACUAUUCUGUUCAAGAAGGAACUGCAGAUGCUGGAAGAUCGAAGGUACAGAAAAAUGCUGGAGAAACUCAACGGGUGCAGCAGCAUCUAUGGAGCGAAGGAAAUAGGUGACGUUUCGGGCUGAAACC